rnacentral:rRNA from 1 species
CCUACGGGAGGCAGCAGUGAGGAAUAUUGGUCAAUGGACGGAAGUCUGAACCAGCCAUGCAGCGUGCAGGAAGACGGCUCUAUGAGUUGUAAACUGCUUUUGUACAAGGGUAAACUUGAACACGUGUAUUUAGCUGAAUGUACUGUAUGAAUAAGGAUCGGCUAACUCCGUGCCAGCAGCCGCGGUAAUACGGAGGAUCCAAGCGUUAUCCGGAUUUAUUGGGUUUAAAGGGUGCGUAGGCGGGUUGUUAAGUUAGUGGUGAAAGGUUCGAGCUUAACUCGGGAACUGCCUCUAAUACUGGUGGUCUAGAGAGUAGAUGCGGUAGGCGGAAUGUGUGGUGUAGCGGUGAAAUGCUUAGAGAUCAUACAGAACACCGAUUGCGAAGGCAGCUUACCAAUCUAUAACUGACGUUGAGGCACGAAAGCGUGGGGAGCAAACAGGAUUAGAUACCCGAGUAGUC